AUAGGUCUAAUGUGCUGGAAUGCUAUUAGGCCGAAAACUCCGGUGCCUUAGGAUUGGUCUGCGGUCUAUCAGGCAGUAGUGGGUGUAACGGACCCACUAGCCCGUGACGGAUAUGGGCCUUGAGAGAGGGAGCCCAGAGAUGGACUCUGAGACAUGAGUCCAGGCCCUACGGGGCGCAGCAGUCGCGAAAACUUCGCAAUGGGGGAAACCCCGACGAGGGAAUUCCAAGUGCCAGCACUUUGUGUUGGCUGUUCUUCUGUCUAAAAAACAGGAGAAGUAAGGGGCGGGUAAGACGGGUGCCAGCCGCCGCGGUAAUACCCGCGCCCCGAGUGGUGGUCGAUAUUAUUGAGCCUAAAACGUCCGUAGCCGGUCUUCUAAAUCCUUGGGUAAAUCGGGCAGCUCAACUGUCCGAAUUCCGGGGAGACUGGGAGACUUGGGACCGGGAGAGGUCAGAGGUACUUCUGGGGUAGGGGUAAAAUCCUGUAAUCCUGGAAGGACCACCGGUGGCGAAGGCGUCUGACUAGAACGGAUCCGACGGUGAGGGACGAAGCCCUGGGGCGCAA
rnacentral:rRNA from 1 species